CAGAAACCCUUCUAGCUACUGGGGCAUACAGCAGUAGACAAGACUGAUAUCACAUACACCCACAUUCAUAUUUAUAUAUUAUACACACAUUAUAGCAAUGAGUCCCUGGAGGAGGGCACGGCAACCCACUCCAGUAUUCGUGCCUGGAGAAUCCCCACGGACAGAGGAGUCUGGCUGGCUAUAGUCCAUGGAGUCGCAAAGAAUCAGACAUGACAGCGACUAAGCAUAGAACAGGACAGUAUAGCAAUGAGCACUAUGAGUGAGAAAGAACUGGGGCAGAGUAAAUGGGAUACAAACAUGUAUAUAUAAACCAUCCAAGGCCCCUCUCAUAAGGUAGAAUUUAGCAGCACCCAGGGGGAAGUUAGGGAGGCAGCCGUUGUGAUGCUUGGUAGAGGAUAUUUCAGCAGGUGGGAAUAGCGAGAGCAAAGGUCCUAGGGCAGAGACAGUUUUAGAAAGAUCUAGGCUGCAAUAAACUUGAAGAUAGUAAGGUGCCUGCAGCAGGAGGUAAGGAAGGGAUAGGGGCAGAUGGGAGCUGGGCCUGUGGGGGAGCUUUGCCCUCAGCUCCCUCAGGACCCUUGCUCAUGCCCUGCCUCCUGACACUUCCCUUUUCUGGGUAGGGGUAGGCACGUGUAUUAAUUAACUUCUCCAUGUUCUUUGUGUCACUUCCCAGGUGGCUCAGAGGUUAAAGCGUCUGCCUCCAAUGCGGGAGACCUGGGUUCGACCCCUGGGUCAGGAAGAUCCCCUGGAGAAGGAAAUGGCAAUCCACUCCAGUAUUCUUGCCUGGAGAAUCCCACGGACGGAGAAGUCCAUGGGCUCGCAAAGAGUCAGUCACGACUGAGCGACUUCACCUCACCUCACCUCAUGUUCUUUGUGUGUCUCAUAGGAAGUUUUGGUGGGCUCUCAGCAGUGUUGGACUGUUUCCUGCUGCUGACUCAGAGAUGGGUACAAGGUAAGGCUGGGCUCUGCUUUCACGUAAGGCUUUAGAAGAAUAUAGCGUCUCAGAGGUGCUGACUGCCUGGGGGUGGUGGUGACGACUCCAAGGAGCAGUGUCUCUGCAAACCUCCAUUUCCUAACUGUCCAUGAGAGCCCCAUUGUGCCUGCAUCUUUCCACAUAUAUAUCCCCGGGGGCACAUCUCAGGGAGCUCAGUGGUGGAAGUCCCCCUGGGGCCACUCACAGGCGCUUCGCUGGGAGUGCUGCUUGCCCUCUGCCUCCUUUUUGUCAGCCCAUGGCACCUAGUCCACCCCUGGUCUCAGCCUGGAGCCAGGAUCCCUGCUACUUCUGCCCACUUCCAGUCUAUCACCUAAGCACCCUUACCACUUCUGCCUCUUCAAGUCACCAUCUCUCCGCACUCCCAAACUGUGACCUUGUCGACAACCCACUCUUGUCCAGGUUCCCCCAGUACUGAAUCUGGCUAGAGUCUUCUCCAUUGGAUCUCUACCCAAAAGCCUGUGGGAUCUUUGUUAACUGCCCAUUUGGCAAACGAAUGAACAGCUG
ensembl:lncRNA